UACGGAGGGAGCAAGCGUUACUCGGAAUUAUUGGGCGUAAAGGGCGCGUAGGCGAUUUGAAAAGUCUUGUGUGAAAGCCCCGAGCUUAACUCGGGAAGUGCACAAGAAACUGUUGAAUUUGAGUUCCGGAGAGGAAGGCAGAAUUCCCGGUGUAGCGGUGAAAUGCGUAGAUAUCGGGAGGAAUACCAGUGGCGAAAGCGACUUCCUGGACCAAUACUGACGCUCAUGUGCGAAAGCGUGGGGAGCAAACAGG
rnacentral:rRNA from 1 species